rnacentral:rRNA from 1 species
UACGUAGGGACCAAGCGUUGUUCGGAUUUACUGGGCGUAAAGGGCGCGUAGGCGGCAAUUCAAGUCAUCUGUGAAAUCUCCGGGCUUAACUCGGAACGGUCAGAUGAUACUGCUUUGCUCGAGUGCGGAAGGGGCAAUCGGAAUUCUUGGUGUAGCGGUGAAAUGCGUAGAUAUCGGAAGGAACGCCGGUGGCGAAAGCGGCGCACUGGAUCUCUACUGACGCUGAGGCGCGAAAGCCAGGGGAGCAAACGGG